GUUAGGACGACAAAAAAGUCUACGCCUUGCAUAACAAAAGAAACAACUACAUUCGCUGUUCCAUUAAGAGAUCAUCCCGCCAAUAACCAUCAUCCAAACACGUUGCAGGCGCCAUAUAAAUAACAUAUCAACAGAGCGCGCUGUUCCCUCCCACACACAGCAGGCGCGGGUGAGAAACAACCGAGAACAUACUGGAGAAGAGAUGUGUCUAUACCCAGCAUCAAGCACGUAUGGAUACCACAACCAGCCCCAAGCAGGGAGCUGACGGGUGAAGCGCCCAGCCCAGCCCCAGGAGGCGGGCCUAGCGGGGUGGCUGGGUCUGGCCUGUCACUCACCCUUGACGGCCCGUUCGCAGGUACCGUGAGGCGUUGCUAAAACAGCCCGCGUCCCCUCCUUGCCAGACAUGGCCCGGGCAGCAAGAGCGGCGAAGGCGCCUUGGUAUCCCCGGCCCAGCAAAUAAUUCUCUCCUUCCGCCUCCGCCAGGGCCGCCGUGAGGGGGCGGCAGAAGACUAGGGGCGGCCACCAAGAGCCGGGGCCCAAAGCAACAUGGCGGCGGAAUCAGCAGACUAGCCGCUGAGCGAGCGAAGGGGGGGAGGAAGCCGCCUCGGGACCGGCAUGCAGUGCGCUCGCACCCCCGCCACGAGGAGGCUUAAGGGACCGCCUCAAAACUCUUCCGCUGGCUCUGAGUGCCAGCGUGAGGCAGCAUAGAUACACUUCCGUAUACAGAUACCAAGCUUGAUGGGAUCUGACGCAUUCCUGAAUGCUCCGGGGGACUUUCUGGUGGAUAGAGCUGGGAAUCCUGUUGAAGCUCUAGACUCACUAUGGAAUGUGAGAUGAGUGAAAGUCACUGGCAGUCCUUCCCUGAUGAGCACCAUCCCUCCCCCGAAUGUCCUGGAUUUUGCAUUGCUACCACCACUAAAAUAAGGUGAACAAAAAUGUGGCUCUCUCCACAAGAUUUAAAGUGAAGAUAGACAAGCAAAGCCCUACAACAGCAGAAAAAUUAAACUACACUAAACCAACCUGGGACAUUUUGGCAGUGAAUCACCUAUUAGCAUCUGAACACAGACUUCACUCAUAUUACAGCAGACUGAAUGGUAUGAACUUGGGGCCAACGAUGUGGUACCCUUGAGGAAUCCGCCUGAUGUUCAACAAAUCCUCUGAGCCCCCUUACUGCCCUCUUCUUCUGGGGGUGGUUACCUUUUUCUCCCUUGAAAAGUAUAUAGAGCUGAAGGAGGAAGUUGGAAGAGUGAUGCUCUUUCUCACUUCUUUCAGCUCUGUGCUUUUCAAGGCUGAGAUCACCUGAGCAGCUGAACAGAAAGCAGAAUGAGAGAGAGAAGAGUGAAAGGGGAGCAGACUGGGAGGCAAAUGAGGAAGAGUAAGAAGCGUGCGUGUGUGAAAGAGAAAACACAUGCACACACCCACAUCUGAUCCAAUAAAACUCUUGAAAUUGCAUGUUUUUCAUGGCUUGCCCCUCCACCAACCACCACUAACUCACAUAUAACAUCUGUCUCCACUGACUGAUCCAUAAAAGUUAUGGAUUUGAUGCUACUUAGUGAUGCCAUGGUACAAAAACAUGGAUCUGAGGCAUGUAUCUUUAUAGAACCUCAUACUUUUUACAAGGGGUCAACACCACCAUGAAAUCAUAGGUCAUAUCUAUGUCUACACGUGUUCUGUGAUUUGGUGGUGGUUUUGUAAUUCUUCCUCAAAGUCAUCAAGAUCCCUGUGGAUUCAUGCCUUGGAUUAAUGUUUUUGUGGUGCUGGCAAGCACCAAAUCUGUGAUUUUUAUUGUGUAGUCUACCAAGGUAAGCUUUAAAUCACAUGAUGGUUUUGAGGGGACACUGUGCAAAAUUAUGCAAAAUCAAGAGGAUCUGUUUUAAUUCUUCUAAAUCCAAUUUUUACCCAGACUUCAUAGAAAACUAAGUGGUGUGUCUGUGACCAGAAGAGGUUAUACUCAUGGCUGUCUCUCAAAACUCCCAAUGUACCCCUGGAAUAAGUGCUGUGAUCCACUGCUGUAUAUUUGAGCUCAAGAGGCAACACUAUAGACAAGAUUCUUUAGACUGGGAUGGUGUAAGCAGAUCCUGAAUGAUACCUCAGUUACCAUACCCUUUCCACAAAGUCUUUUUUGGGUGCAGGGUGUGUGUGGGGGUCACACAGAAUGUGGCUUCUUGUCUACUGGAUUGCGGCUGCUGCAGGCAGCUCUCUCACGCCUGGCUGGAAUGGCGCUCUCUGCCAGGUGGCACAGGCGUCUCCACAGUAAACAGUGCUUCGCAUGCCCUGGAAGCACUGUUUACUGCAGAUGCAUCUGCUCGAGUGUAGGGGAGGGUGGCAGAGAGAGAGAGACAAGCACAGGGGGGUGGUGGCUGCCCCUUGUCUGCUUGCUUGAAUGUCCGGAGAGGAGAACUGUGCUCAAAGCUUUAGGUUGCUAUAGCAAGAUGCCACAUGAUGAAAGAGAAAAGGCAAGGCAGGCAUCCCUGGAUACAUUUUGGAAGAAGCCUUCAAGUGGUCUGUAUGGAAGGCUUUCCUGACCUGGUUGUUUCCUUUCAGACAUGUGUAUUGCUAGUUUUGAAUAAAAAGUUUGCUGAAAUAUA